rnacentral:rRNA from 1 species
AUUGAACGCUGGCGGCGUGCUUAACACAUGCAAGUCGUGCGGUAACAGGCGUAGCAAUACGUGCUGACGAGCGGCGAACGGGUGCGUAAUACAUGGGAGUCUGCCUUUUAGUGGGGAAUAACCCGGCGAAAGCCGGGCUAAUGCCGCAUAAGAUCUUCGGAUGAAAGCGGGGGAUCGUAAGACCUCGCGCUGAUAGAUGAGCCCAUGCCGGAUUAGCAGUUGGUGAGGUAACGGCUCACCAAGGCGACGAUCCGUAGCUGGUCUGAGAGGACGGCCAGCCACACUGGGACUGAGACACGGCCCAGACUCCUACGGGAGGCAGCAGUGGGGAAUAUUGGACAAUGGGGAAACCCUGAUCCAGCGACGCCGCGUGUGUGAAGAAGGCCUGCGGGUUGUAAAGC